UACGAAGGGGGCUAGCGUUGCUCGGAAUCACUGGGCGUAAAGCGCACGUAGGCGGGUCUUUAAGUCAGGGGUGAAAUCCUGGAGCUCAACUCCCAGAACUGCCUUUGAUACUGAGGAUCUCGAGUCCGGGAGAGGUGAGUGGAACUCCGAGUGUAGAGGUGAAAUUCGUAGAGUAUUCGGAAGAACACCAAGUGGCGAAGGCGGCUCACUGGCCCGGUACUGACGCUGAGGUGCGAAAGCGUGGGAGCAACAGG
rnacentral:rRNA from 1 species